GGAAGUAAAAGCGUAACAAGGUUUCCGUAGGUGAACCUGCGGAAGGAUCAUUAUUGUAUAACCGAGGUGCGAGGGCUGUCGCUGACCCGAAAGGUCGUGCACGCCCGAGUGCCCUCACACACAUCCAUCUCACCCCUAUGUGCACCACCGCGUGGGUCCCCCUUUGGCUUGUUCGGAGGGGGGCUUACGUUUUCACACAAACUUUGUAAGCAGUGUAGAAUGUAUUUUUUGUUUUUGCGAUCACGCAAUCAAUACAACUUUCAACAACGGAUCUCUUGGCUCUC
rnacentral:misc_RNA from 1 species